rnacentral:lncRNA from 1 species
AUUUCUGUCUCUUCUAAGUGAGCACAGUAGGUAGGGAACUCAAUGGAAGCAGUGUGCACACACACACACCCUUAGUAGAAUAUGGAGCAUUAUUCUUUACCAAAAGUAGCUAUUCUCUGCCAGUGUACUGUUUACAGUGUAAAUUGAUUGUCCUCCGUCAAAAUCAAGUCUAAGCGGCAUUUUACUUUUCUUUUCUUUUUUAUUUUCCAUUUUUGGGUGUUCUAGAUAGGAUUAUUAUCAAAAGUAGGAGGAAAAAGAAAUGUUUGUGAGUGCAAGAUUAAAGACAGAGCGCAUGAGCAGAGUACUGAUGGUGUGCGUGUUUGUGUGUGUGUAUAUGUGUGUGUAUAAGAGAGAAAGAGAAAUCGAAAAGAGAGAGAAAUUUCAACUUGUUUUCUUUUACCAGAGAAUCCAAGAAGCAGUUUAAGGAACCUGAUAUUGGAGUUUAAUCUAGAAACUGGAUGAUCUCAUAUUGAUUCAUGAUGCUUAAUCUUUCAUUGAAACUCCACAAUUAAAAUAACAAAUAGAGAAAGAAAACUAACUUUCCUAAAUAUGGCAAAGAAACUAACACCUCAUUUAUUUUUAUUUCUUUGUAAAAAUAUAAAUAUCUCAAUCAAAAGUACAGGCUCAUUUGUAAUUAUGUACUCAUGAUUGUAACAGCAUUGAGAUUUCAUAUAGGCACAUGUAUAGCAGCUGUUUGACAGUGAUGGCUCUUCCAUGUAACAUAGCAGUUAUCGUGUAAUUUAGUGCCACUUAUUGCAAAGUGUUACCAAGGGGAACAUUUCAAAUGCCUUUUGUUUUUCUUUGGACAUCAAGGUAAUUUAGUGGACAACAAAUAUUAAAUUUUACAUUAUGCUUUUUAAUUGUGGAGAAAAUGCAAAACCUCAUGUCUUACCACAACUUUCCCAUGGUAUUGCUAAUUACUUAGAGUCUCUAAAAUUGCCCAAUAUUAUUUCCCUUUGCAAAUGGUAAUUUCUGAUAAAACAAUACAAAACAAAAAAAAAGCAGUAAUCACAGCCAAAUAAAUGAAACACCUAAUGAGAAUUACUGUUGAGUAAUGCUUUUUAUUAAGUGGCACAAAGUACACACUAAAAACUAUGCAAAAUAUAGGUAACUACAGUGUACGUACAUGUAAGUAUCUUGUACUUGCUGUGUAUGGAUGUUGGAAACCCAUGUAAUUAUAAUAUGCAUUUUGAAUAUUGGGAAAGAGGAAAUCUUAGUGUAGAUAAUAGAAUUUGUUUUGAAAUAUACACUGGCAAUAUUGAAAUAUACUCAGUGCAAUAUCUGCAGUUCUAUUGCUGGAUACUUAAUGCAAAGGGAUUUUAAAGAAUUCUUCAGCAAGAUCCAAGAGGUUGCUAAUCUUCACCUCUCACAUACUAAAGCAUUCAUUAAAAAUACAACUAAUUCAAGGACAAGUUAAGUUUUUCUUAUUAAUGUGACACAGUAACAUUUUUAUUUGGAUUAGUUUUUGGUGUUAUUGCAGAGAAAGAAAUAACCUGAGUUUUAAAUUUCGAUUCAUAUCUCAUUGAAUUGGGAAUUCUUCAAUUUUGUUUGAAAUGUGUGCAUGUUUUCAUAGAUUGUAGCAAGUACAAAUGUAUUCAAUGAAAGAACAUAGGGUAGUUUUAAUAGUUAAAGUCACUAUAUCUUAAUGGGAAUUUUAAAAUAUCUUUUCUUUUUCUAUUCAUUUUUUCCCUUUCUCUCUCUAUUCUACCCCCAAACAAGCCCUUUGCACUCAUACCCUUCCAAAGGCAAUGGAUUGAAAGUAGCAAGAUAAUAAAGAGAGUUAAAGGGGACAACAUAUAACAAUGGGUUCUAAAAUCAUCAGCAUUUUUAUGUAUUGAGAUUAUUAAUAUUGAAUGCAAUAGUUAUUGGAUAUAGCUGGUAAGUUCUCUGCCAUGCAUACUUACAAUAAUCCUUCUACCUCUCACUUUUAACAUGGGCUAUGAUACUUCAAUAUAAAUAGAGGAAAUAAUUAUUUACCAGAUAUCCCAGGAAGCAUUCUUAUGGAACUAUUAUAACAGUGCACUCCCCACCCCCUGGGAAAUCUCAAAAGCCAAGUUCUUCAGUGUAUUCUAUGGUGUAUGAAUCUGCAUUUGUUUUUCCUUUUCUAUCAUUAGCUUUUCCUAAAGGCAAAAUAUUAUAACUUUAUAAGAAUAGUCCUUCUCCUGCCUAUUUAAUAUUUCAAUGUUAAUAUAAUUGUAUUGGUUUUUAAAAAUAAUUAAAAUGGCAACACUUUGCGAUCCAAUCUGAUAUUUAAUUUUUAAAAUGUAACAAUUUCUUAUAAAUUCAUGCUGUGUUUUAAGUAAAAAUCAUGUAUAUGAAUUAUUUUACCAAGUAGUAUUAUCUGCACGAGACAAAUUUAAGUAUUUUAAAAAUCAUCCUUAUUAAUAAAUAAUCCUCAUAUAAUGCACAGUAUUGCCACAAAUGCCCACUUCAUUUUGUCUGCAUAGACAUAUUAAGAAUUUUUCAAUGAUGUAAUUUAAUUAUCCUAAAAGAAAUGACAGAUUCUUCUGUAGGAAAAAAUAAAAACAUGAAUAUCUCAAAUUAUAAUGGUUAAUCUCUAAAAUAUGCUUAAAGUAAGAUGUUUCUAUGUUAUGUGGUUAUGUUAUCAAUAAUAUUUGGUUGAUCUUCACAUAUUUUAUAUGCAUAUAUAUAUCAAGAAGUUAUAUAUAUAUAACUCAAGAAACUCAAGUUAUAUAUAUAUGUCAAGAAAUGUAUGAUUAUUUUGGAGAGAAUGGGCCCAAAUGUGAAAAAGAUAUAAAAAAAACAAAAAAAACAAAAAAAAAACACUAUUUUCCCCUACGAAAUAUACUGUAUAUUUCAAAAGAAGAAAAGUUAAAAGAUAUUUGAAGAUUGCAGGGGCAAAACAAAAACCUACCAGGGCUCAGCACUUAAGCACUUUUCCCACAUCCAGGGUCAAAGCAGCAGUAACUACAUGGACUUUUAAGUGCGGUAUGAAAUGCAACAUUACGCUUACAAACAGUACUGUCAAACCUCAAAUGCUUUCUUUCUUCAGAUGCUUUUUCGUGUACAUGAUACUAGUAGACACUUUUCUCUUUAUAUUUACUGAUAGUGAAAAUCAUACGCAAUAAAAUAUUGAUGUUUGAAGGCAGUGGUCACCAAUUGGUUAAAAAACUAUGAAAUGUAAACUGAAUUGUUAUAUCUCUAUCCUUUUUGCUUUUCUCUGUGUUUUUAAUGUAUGGAAUAAAUCUCAUAAAUAGAAAG